GAUGAACGCUGGCGGCGUGCUUAACACAUGCAAGUCGAACGAAGCAUUUGCGACAGAUUUUUUCGGAAUGAAGUUGCUUAUGACUGAGUGGCGGACGGGUGAGUAACGCGUGGGUAACCUGCCUUGUACUGGGGGAUAGCAGCUGGAAACGGCUGGUAAUACCGCAUAAGCGCACAAUGUUGCAUGACAUGGUGUGAAAAACUCCGGUGGUAUAAGAUGGACCCGCGUCUGAUUAGCUGGUUGGUGAGAUAACAGCCCACCAAGGCGACGAUCAGUAGCCGAGCUGGGAGGGUGACAGGCCACAUUGGGACUGAGACACGGCCCAGACUCCUACGGGAGGCAGCAGUGGGGAAUAUUGCACAAUGGAGGAAACUCUGAUGCAGCGACGCCGCGUGAGUGAAGAAGUAAUUCGUUAUGUAAAGCUCUAUCAGCAGGGAAGAUAGUGACGGUACCUGACUAAGAAGCUCCGGCUAAAUACGUG
rnacentral:rRNA from 1 species